GGGGCCCGCACAAGCGGUGGAGCAUGUGGUUAAUUCGACGCAACGCGAAGAACCUUACCAGGGCUUGACAUCCCCUGACCGCGUAUGAAAGUACGUUUUCACCCUCGGGUGACAGGGAGACAGGUGGUGCAUGGUUGUCGUCAGCUCGUGUCGUGAGAUGUUGGGUUAAGUCCCGCAACGAGCGCAACCCCUACGUUUAGUUGCUAACGCGUGAAGGCGAGCACUCUAGACGAACUGCCGUUGACAAAACGGAGGAAGGUGGGAUGACGUCAAAUCAUCAUGCCCCUUAUGUUCUGGGCUACACACGUGCUACAAUGGCCGGUACAGACGGACGCAAAGCCGCGAGGUGGAGCAAAUCCUAAAAAGCCGGUCUCAGUUCGGAUUGCAGGCUGCAAUUCGCCUGCAUGAAGUCGGAAUCGCUAGUAAUCGCAGGUCAGCAUACUGCGGUGAAUACGUUCCCGGGCCUU
rnacentral:rRNA from 1 species